AUGAUAUCUCUAACGUAUCUGCUUUGUGUCCUGUAUCUUUACAUUCCAGGAUCUUAUGGACAGGCUGUAAUGACCCAGACCCCAGAUUAUAUUUUGGUGUCCCCGGGAGAUACAGUCACCAUCUCAUGUACGGCCAGUAAGAGUGUAUUCCAUACAGAAUGGAAGUAUGAUGCAAUAGCCUGGCUACAACAGAAACCAGGACAACCUCCAAAACGUAUUAUGUAUAAAGUGUCUGAACGACCAUCAGGAAUCCCAGAACGAUUCCAAGGAUCCGGAUCAGGAACUGAUUUCACCCUGAAUAUUAAAGGGUUUACAAAAGAGGAUGCUGCAGAUUAUUACUGUAUGCAAUAUAGAUUUGCAGUAAACACACAGCGAUACAGAGCCGUACAAAAACCUCCUUCCCUUUUCAUCUUUAGUAUUAGUAAAGGGAGAACAACUACAGGAGAUAUAGGUAAAGGUUGUCUUUGA